UACUAUGAUAUACAAAUUUUGUGCGUAUCGUUUAUAGGUUUAAUUUUCUUUCUUGCUUGCUUUGCACUUCCUAUGAAUGGUUUAAAUUUUUUUUUCAUUGCUUGCUUUGACUAAUUUUGCUUAUUGUUGAUUUCAUCAAAGAGUAGUAUUACCAACAAAAUAAAGAAAAAAAAAAAGGAAAGGGAGAAUUGAGGUUGUGGGUCAUAAUAGGUAGGCUUUUUAUUUUUUUAUUUAUAUUUUUCAAUGUACUGUUAUGAUUUAUGAGAUUGUUAUGCCCCUUUGUAAAUUAUUAGCCAUUUGCUCUAACCUCUAAAUUUGGAAUGAUGUUCGAGGACUAUAUAAUGGUUGUUGGAGCAUCAAAGCCAACUGCAGUAGUUGAUGCUGAUAGGUUUUCCAAUAUGAAAAGGUGAAUGUUGGUUUAAAGAAAAGAGAUGGGACUCUAGAAAGAGGAUGCUUGGGUGACAAUUGUUAGGUGAAUGAUAUCCAAAAUCAUAUAAGUGUAGAAUAUAUUUAUGUAAUGAGGUUUAUUUAUAUGUAAUAAUUUAUAAUAGAAAAUAACGUUAAUUUAUAUGUAA